GGAGGAGUGGCAGAGUGGUCGAUUGCGGCGGUCUUGAAAACCGUUUUAGGGCAACCUAACGUGGGUUCGAAUCCUACCUCCUCCGCCA
rnacentral:tRNA from 1 species